AACCCAGAUUCCAUAGCCAUCAGAGCUAAACACUGGUCCGAGUGGUUACAAAAGGAAGAAGAGUAAAAUCGAAACUGAUUUAGAUUCCUUUGUGACAAAUGAGCUAGUUUCCGUCAAGA
rnacentral:snoRNA from 1 species